AUUGAACGCUGGCGGCAUGCUUUACACAUGCAAGUCGAACGGUAACAGGCCUUCGGGUGCUGACGAGUGGCGAACGGGAGAGUAAUGCAUCGGAACGUGCCCAGAGGUGGGGGAUAACGCAGCGAAAGCUGUGCUAAUACCGCAUGUGAUCUGAGGAUGAAAGCGGGGGACCAGGCAGCAAUGUUUGGCCUCGCGCCUUUGGAGCGGCCGAUGUCAGAUUAGGUAGUUGGUGGGGUAAAGGCCUACCAAGCCGACGAUCUGUAGCUGGUCUGAGAGGACGACCAGCCACACUGGGACUGAGACACGGCCCAGACUCCUACGGGAGGCAGCAGUGGGGAAUUUUGGACAAUGGGCGCAAGCCUGAUCCAGCAAUGCCGCGUGCGGGAAGAAGGCCUUCGGGUUGUAAACCGCUUUUGUACGGAGCGAAAAGGCUCUGGCUAAUACCUGGGGCUGAUGACGGUACCGUAAGAAUAAGCACCGGCUAACUACGUG
rnacentral:rRNA from 1 species